GCGGCGCAUUAGCUAGUUGGUGGGGUAGAGGCCUACCAAGGCGAUGAUGCGUAGCCGGACUGAGAGGUCGAACGGCCACAUUGGGACUGAGACACGGCCCAAACUCCUACGGGAGGCAGCAGUAGGGAAUUUUCGGCAAUGGGGGAAACCCUGACCGAGCAACGCCGCGUGAAUGAAGAAGUAUUUCGGUAUGUAAAGUUCUUUUAUUGAGGAAGAAUGGGUUGGGUAGGAAAUGACCUAACCGUGACGGUACUCAAUGAAUAAGCCCCGGCUAACUAUGUGCCAGCAGCCGCGGUAAUACAUAGGGGGCAAGCGUUAUCCGGAAUUAUUGGGCGUAAAGGGUGCGUAGGCGGUUUGUUAAGUCUAAGGUGUAAGUUCAAGGCUCAACCUUGUGAUGCUUUAGAAACUGGCGGACUAGAGAUAGAUAGAGGCAAGUGGAAUUCCAUGUGUAGCGGUAAAAUGCGUAAAUAUAUGGAGGAACACCAGUGGCGAAGGCGGCUUGCUGGGUCUAUACUGACGCUGAGGCACGAAAGCGUGGGGAGCAAACAGGAUUAGAUACCCUGGUAGUCCACGCCAUAAACGAUGAGUACUAAGUGUUGGGGGAACCCAGUGCUGUAGUUAACAUAUUAA
rnacentral:rRNA from 1 species